rnacentral:rRNA from 1 species
AUACGGAGGGUGCAAGCGUUAUUCGGAAUCACUGGGCGUAAAGGACGCGUAGGCGGGUUGGCAAGUCAGAUGUGAAAUCCUACAGCUUAACUGUAGAACUGCAUUUGAAACUGCUAACCUAGAGUAUGGGAGGGGGAGAUGGAAUUAGUGGCGUAGGGGUAAAAUCCGUAGAUAUCACUAGGAAUACCGAAAGCGAAGGCGAUCUCCUGGAACAUAACUGACGCUAAGGCGUGAAAGCGUGGGGAGCAAACAGGAUUAGAAACCCUAGUAGUCC